rnacentral:rRNA from 1 species
UGGGGAAUAUUGGACAAUGGGGGCAACCCUGAUCCAGCCAUGCCGCGUGUGUGAAGAAGGCCUUUUGGUUGUAAAGCACUCUAAGCAGUGAAGAAGACUCCAUGGUUAAUACCCAUGGACGAUGACAUUAGCUGCAGAAUAAGCACCGGCUAACUCUGUGCCAGCAGCCGCGGUAAUACAGAGGGUGCAAGCGUUAAUCGGAAUUACUGGGCGUAAAGCGAGCGUAGGUGGCUUGAUAAGUCAGAUGUGAAAGCCCCGGGCUUAACCUGGGAACGGCAUCUGAUACUGUUAGGCUAGAGUAGGUGAGAGGAAGGUAGAAUUCCAGGUGUAGCGGUGAAAUGCGUAGAGAUCUGGAGGAAUACCGAUGGCGAAGGCAGCCUUCUGGCAUCAUACUGACACUGAGGUUCGAAAGCGUGGGUAGCAAACA